GUCGGUGUAGCUUAGCGGUUAUGGCGCCAGACUCAUAAUCUGGAGGUCGGGGGUUCAAGUCCCUCCACCGACA
rnacentral:tRNA from 1 species